CUACUUGUCGUACACCUUGCAAUAUGUCACAAAAAUCACAUUAACUUAUCCGUCUGCGCCAGGUCUAGCUCCGUGCCAACAACCCAGGGGAUUCGGAGGGUGCAAGCGUGACUCGGAAUCACUGGGCGUAAAGGACGCGUAGGCUGGCUGACAAGUCAGAUGUGAAAUCCUAUGGCUUAACCAUAGAACUGCAUUUGAAACUGUUAGUCUAGAGUAUGGGAGGGGGAGAUGGAAUUAGUGGUGUAGGGGUAAAAUCCGUAGAUAUCACUAGGAAUACCUAAAGCGAAGGCGAUCUCCUGGAACAUUACUGACGCUAAGGCGUGAAAGCGUGGGGAGCAAACAGGAUUAGAUACCCUGGUAGUCCACGCCCUAAACGAUGAACACUAGUCGUCGGNANGCUUGUCNUCUCGGUGAUGCACUUAACAGAUUAAGUGUUCCGCCUGGGGGAGUACGGUCGCAAGAUUAAAACUCAAA
rnacentral:rRNA from 1 species